GAUGAACGCUGGCGGCGUGCCUAAUACAUGCAAGUCGAGCGAACAGAUGAGGAGCUUGCUCCUCUGACGUUAGCGGCGGACGGGUGAGUAACACGUGGAUAACCUACCUAUAAGACUGGGAUAACUUCGGGAAACCGGAGCUAAUACCGGAUAAUAUAUUGAACCGCAUGGUUCAAUAGUGAAAGACGGUUUUGCUGUCACUUAUAGAUGGAUCCGCGCCGCAUUAGCUAGUUGGUAAGGUAACGGCUUACCAAGGCAACGAUGCGUAGCCGACCUGAGAGGGUGAUCGGCCACACUGGAACUGAGACACGGUCCAGACUCCUACGGGAGGCAGCAGUAGGGAAUCUUGCGCAAUGGGCGAAAGCCUGACGGAGCAACGCCGCGUGAGUGAUGAAGGUCUUCGGAUCGUAAAACUCUGUUAUUAGGGAAGAACAAAUGUGUAAGUAACUAUGCACGUCUUGACGGUACCUAAACAGAAAGCCACGGCUAACUACGUG
rnacentral:rRNA from 1 species